CCUACGGGUGGCAGCAGUGAGGAAUAUUGGUCAAUGGGAGAGAUCCUGAACCAGCCAAGCCGCGUGAGGGAAGACGGCCCUAUGGGUUGUAAACCUCUUUUGUCGGAGAACAAAACACGGGACGUGUCCCGGACUGCGUGUAUCCGAAGAAAACGCAUCGGCUAACUCCGUGCCAGAAGCCGCGGUAAUACGGAGGAUGAGGGCGUUCACCGGAUUUAUUGGGUUUAAAGGGUGCGUAGGAGGUCCGUUAGGUCUUCGGUAAAAUUGGGGGGCUCAACCCCGUCGAGCCGUUGAAACUGGCAGACUUGAGUUGGCGAGAAGUACGCGGAAUGCGCGGUGUAGCGGUGAAAUGCAUAGAUAUCGCGCAGAACUCCGAUUGCGAAGGCAGCGUACCGGCGCCAGACUGACGCUGAGGCACGAAAGCGUGGGGAUCGAACAGGAUUAGAUACCCCUGUAGUC
rnacentral:rRNA from 1 species